CGUACGUAGAGUGUAAAGGCAAAAGAGGGCUUGAUUGCAAGACAUACAGGUCGAGCAAGGAUGAAAAUCGGACUUAGUGAUCCGGUGGUUCUGCGUGGAAGGGCCAUCGCUCAACGGAUAAAAGCUACCCUGGGGAUAACAGGCUUAUCGCCCCCAAGAGUCCACAUCGACGGGGAGGUUUGGCACCUCGAUGUCGGCUCAUCACAUCCUGGGGCUGUAGUAGGUCCCAAGGGUUGGGCUGUUCGCCCAUUAAAGUGGUACGCGAGCUGGGUUCAGAACGUCGUGAGACAGUUCGGUCCCUAU
rnacentral:rRNA from 1 species